rnacentral:rRNA from 1 species
CCUACGGGAGGCAGCAGUGGGGAAUAUUGGGCAAUGGGCGCAAGCCUGAACCAGCCAAGUCGCGUGAGGGAGGACGGCCCUACGGGUUGUAAACCUCUUUUGCCGGGGAGCAACGGGCGUCACGUGUGGCGCCACUGAGAGUACCCGGAGAAAAAGCAUCGGCUAACUCCGUGGCAGCAGCCGCGGUAAUUAGGAGGAUGGGAGGGUUAUCAGGAUUUAUUGGGUUUAAAGGGGUCGUAGGCGGAUAAGUAAGUUAGUGGUCAAAUUGCGGGGCUCAACCCCUUCCCGCCAUUGAAACUGGCGUUCUUGAGUGGAAGAGAAGUAUGCGGAAUGCGUGGUGUAGCGGUGAAAUGCAUAGAUAGCACGCAGAACCCCGAUUGCGAAGGCAGCAUGCCGGCUUCCGACUGACGCUGAAGCACGAAAGCGUGGGGAUCGAACAGGAUUAGAUACCCUUGUAGUC